GCUGCCCCGCUGCGCGGCGCGGGCUCCCGGCCCCCGGCGCUCUCACACUCUCCCGCUCGGCUCCAACUUGCAGGCAUCCAUGGCCGGCCGUCCUCCGAGGGCGGCGGGACAAGCGAGGGCGGCGGGUCGAGUGGCGCGAUGAGGAAACAAAGGAGCAGAACGUGGCACGGUUUGGACUAGAAACGAGUAGCCUGAGCUCCCUCUCCUCUGCAUCACGGAACGCUAAAUGAAGGGGCAGCUAUGCGAGGACCCUCCGGAAGCUGCCAGAAAUGUCGGUGAUGGGCAUUAGUGGGGCUCAGUUUACACCUGUCGCUCCCUCCGUGGAGCCCACUCAGCCCUUCGGACCAGGCAAUGGUGAGCCAUUGAAGUUUUCUGAACAGAGAAGUACUUAUUGGGAGCUGUUGGAGCUGUGCUUCCAGGAGAUGAAUCUGGCAAUAACAUGGAGAUCCCUGCAGAGCCUCCCUAUUGCCACGGUUGCCAUUGCUCUUCAAGACGAUAGAUCAGCUGAAGGCAGCUGCCCCCACCCCCCGGUCCAAUGAUCUACUAUGUCAAAGUGGUACCCCAGUGGCUAACUCUCCCUUGUGGGCCGUGGCAUCCCAGGGGUCUCCUGGCUUUGGGCGUUGGAGGUCUGAGCAAUGAUUGAAAGAUCCAGUUCCCUCUUGAACCACCCAAUUCUCCAGGAAGAAGGGAUUCCAGAAGGAAAAUUAGCCAACACCCCGUUUCUGGUCAGAAGGCCCUCAGCACGUUCCUGUGAAUAAUCGUAUCCCAAAUCCUAAGGAAUUCUGGAUGGACUUGCAGGUGCAUUCUUGGUUUGGGGUGGGAGUGCCUAAAACUCAAUUGGAACUGAGAAGAGGGUUUUGGUGAGGAUCCGUGUGGCCCAGGGAGCUUAGACAGAGAGAUGGGACGGGGCUGGGUAGAGCUCUAGCCUGGAGCACAUCUAUUGCAGAAAGAGGUGACAGGGAAAAGACAGAGAAAAAAAGACCCUCAACCUCCCACCCGUACUCUCUCCCCUUCGACGGUGCCUUUAAAUCCAGGGUGGAGGGGGCAUUGUGGCCACAAUAAUUAUCAGGAUGGACUACUUGUUGAGAGGAACCUGAUAUUUUUUGAGAGCCAUACGGAAGCCCCCAGAAUGGAACUUAUUGUAAGGGAGGACCAGUGCUCCUGAGUCAGCCCAAGCCCUGCCGAGAAAGUGCCUGGUAGACAUGCUGGAAGUGGAGGUGAAGCCAAGCAUCCUUCUCCAGGGCGCUGAUCUUUUUAGGAUCUGAUGAAAGCUGUGUCCCUCUGCCCUGCAAACGGCACACAUGCACAAGGUCAGUGUUUACAUGGCAACCUGCAGGAGCCCAGCUGCGGCCCUGAGUUAGCAGUCCCUGCUGAGAAAGGGUAUUUCAGGCAGGAGGCAACCCUGAACCCAAAGUCCCUGUGAUCCAGGCUAAUGAGGGGUGUUCGUGACAUGAAGGAUCCAGAAUGAGACACAUCUAAAGCAGAGUUCUGAAAUGUAAGGUGAAAAAAAAGAACAAGCCUGAUACACACUUCAUUGCAGGUCAGGUCUGUGAAAAAUCCCCACCUAGAAAGAGAAAAAUGCAGAGGCAACAUAGAGAAAGGAAAACAAUUUGUGGGUAAAGGGUUUUUAUUUUGAAAUUUUGCUUUGAUAUCAUGAAGUUACUUUAAUGAUAUGAUUUAAUGAUUUAACUUUUUCUAUAUUAUGUAAAGUGCUUUUCUUCCAAAAAAUAAGCCUAUGAAUUGAAUUUGAUUUAGGUUAAUAUCAAUGCCCUGUGUGCUUUGAGCGCAUGCUUCUGGGGAAAGAUGCUCCAGGAUGGAGCCAGGUGGCCUGGAGAGGACGUCCAAAGGGUGGGUCACUGACUUUUGAGGAUCCUCAGGAGGCAGUCGAGCAGGUGGCAGGCAUGUGGUUGGAGUCCAGAGUCCUAGCUUUGUGUUCUGGGCAAGAAGGGUGACCAGUUGUCCCAUUUUGCCUGGGCCUGAGCAAGGGUUCCUGAGACAUGGAUCUUUCUGUCUUAAAACCAGGAACGUUCUGGGCAAGCCAGAGGGAGCUAGUUAAUCCUAUGUAUAUAUUAACCUCUCUCUGCUUCAGUUUCCUCAUUUGUAAAAGGAUGCUGCUGACUUUCAGAACCUUUGUAAAAGCACUUUGGGGACUCCACCAUCUUCACGCCGGAUGAGGAUGAUGUUUAUUACUGGUGGUGUGGAACCGGGGCCAGGAGUGGGAGAACCUUGAGAUCAAAGAGACCAGGGGCCUGUUUGAACCACCCUGUGAUGUAUAUGUAGAGAGCUUGAGCCAGCCACUCUCUCUCAAGAGACUUGUAAUGACAAUUCAUUCAACAAAUAUUGAUGCACCACCUAUGACCAAGUACCAUGCUAGGCAUUGGAAUAAAGCCAUGUACUACUGA